AGCUCAGCUGGUUAGAGCACAGCAUUCAUAAUGCUGGGGUCGGUGGUUCAAGUCCACCC
rnacentral:tRNA from 1 species